CCGGCGGAGGCGACGGCGGCCUUCUCUCCCCCACCUCACGCUGUGAUUUUUGUGUGAUAAAGUAGUUUUGUCUGACAUGCUUCUGACGAGGCGACCGUGGCUCGCAGAGGGGACGGAGAGCUUGGUAGAGACGCAAGUCAGUCCUAGCUGGACGAGAAUCUCCGACGUGGCCGCAUAGAGCUACUCGACAGUUCACUGCAUAGUG
rnacentral:lncRNA from 1 species